rnacentral:tRNA from 1 species
GGGGCUAUAGCUCAGCUGGGAGAGCGCUUGCAUGGCAUGCCAAGAGGUCAGCGGUUCGAUCCCGCUUAGCUCCACCA